rnacentral:rRNA from 1 species
UACGGAGGGGGCUAGCGUUGUUCGGAAUUACUGGGCGUAAAGCGCGCGUAGGCGGCUUUGUAAGUUAGAGGUGAAAGCCCGGAGCUCAACUCCGGAAUUGCCUUUAAGACUGCAUCGCUAGAAUCAUGGAGAGGUGAGUGGAAUUCCCGGUGUAGCGGUGAAAUGCGUAGAUAUCGGGAGGAACAUCAGUGGCGAAGGCGGCUACCUGGCCCAAUACUGACACUCAGGUGCGACAGCGUGGGGAGCAAACAGG